CCUACGGGUGGCAGCAGUGGGGAAUAUUGCACAAUGGGCGCAAGCCUGAUGCAGCCAUGCCGCGUGUGUGAAGAAGGCCUUCGGGUUGUAAAGCACUUUCAGCGGGGAGGAAGGCGGUGAGGUUAAUAACCUCAUCGAUUGACGUUACCCGCAGAAGAAGCACCGGCUAACUCCGUGCCAGCAGCCGCGGUAAUACGGAGGGUGCAAGCGUUAAUCGGAAUUACUGGGCGUAAAGCGCACGCAGGCGGUCUGUCAAGUCGGAUGUGAAAUCCCCGGGCUCAACCUGGGAACUGCAUUCGAAACUGGCAGGCGAGAGUCUUGUAGAGGGGGGUAGAAUUCCAGGUGUAGCGGUGAAAUGCGUAGAGAUCUGGAGGAAUACCGGUGGCGAAGGCGGCCCCCUGGACAAAGACUGACGCUCAGGUGCGAAAGCGUGGGGAGCAAACAGGAUUAGAUACCCCAGUAGUC
rnacentral:rRNA from 1 species